AAUACAGAGGGUGCAAGCGUUAAUCGGAAUUACUGGGCGUAAAGCGUGCGUAGACGGUUAUGUAAGUUAGGUGUGAAAGCCCCGGGCUCAACCUGGGAAUUGCAUUUAAGACUGCAUAGCUAGGGUGCGGAAGAGGGAAGCGGAAUUUCCGGUGUAGCGGUGAAAUGCGUAGAUAUCGGAAGGAACACCAGUGGCGAAAGCGGCUUCCUGGUCCAGCACCGACGUUCAGGCACGAAAGCGUGGGGAGCAAACAG
rnacentral:rRNA from 1 species